rnacentral:lncRNA from 1 species
AAAAACAAAACAUCUGAAAGAUGCUGCUUUCAUUUCAGACGGAGGGAACUCAUUUUGAAACCUCAAGAGCUGCUGUGAAAUGGGAUCACGCUCUGCCAGGGAGCUCCAGUGCCUACGUGCCUCACCGAAAUCGUGACGAAUUCUCACUCCCAGCCCACCACGUGAGUCGUGUGGUGCCUCUGGAAAGAGAACGUGGGCAUUGCAUGUGACACCAUGUGAUGUGGAAGCAAGAGACAUCGAUGUUCCUUCAAACUCAUGGUCAGGAGCAUCGCUGACUCCUCUAUAUCCAUGUAUGCAGAGUUGCUUCCACCCAACUGCAGUCUAAGCCACGGACAGCUGUCCUGUUUGAGACCUAGCCCCUCGUAUCUAGCUCCUCUGACCUACUGGCAGGACUCCUUGGAAGGACUAAUUUUCAUCAAGGUAAGAUAUGACAAUGUUUUGAGCUCAUGUGAUCAGCUCAGCUGAACCCCUAAGUGACAUUGCGAGCCUAAAUAGAUGAAACCAAAGUAAGUUAUCACCUUUGUUGACAAGUGACUUUUUCUUUCCGAUGAAGUGAGCAAGCCUGAGCAUUACCACAGGAAUUUCAAGUGGGUGGGAGAAAGGAUGAAAAAUUGUCAACAGGAUGUGUUCAGAAGUGAACAGCACUGCUCAGGGAUAGAUUUUUGCAACCUAUCUUCAUUAAUAUCU